AUACCAUGGUGAGGGCAUUCUAAAAGGAGGUCUUUAAAUCUCUCCAUGAACUUAGAGAAUGACUCGUGUGAUUUCUGCCUGAACUGGAAGAUGUCACUCUUGAGCUU